CAAGUCGAACGAUGAACCCCGCUUGCGGGGGGAUUAGUGGCGAACGGGUGAGUAACACGUGAGUAACCUGCCCUUAACUCUGGGAUAAGCCUUGGAAACGAGGUCUAAUACUGGAUAUUGACUUUACCUCGCAUGGGGUUUUGUUGAAAGAUUUAUUGGUUUUGGAUGGACUCGCGGCCUAUCAGCUUGUUGGUGAGGUAAUGGCUCACCAAGGCGACGACGGGUAGCCGGCCUGAGAGGGUGACCGGCCACACUGGGACUGAGACACGGCCCAGACUCCUACGGGAGGCAGCAGUGGGGAAUAUUGCACAAUGGGCGAAAGCCUGAUGCAGCGACGCCGCGUGAGGGAUGACGGCCUUCGGGUUGUAAACCUCUUUCAGUAGGGAACAAGGCCAGCAUUUUUGUUGGUUGAGGGUACUUGCAGAAGAAGCGCCGGCUAACUACGUGCCAGCAGCCGCGGUAAUACGUAGGGCGCAAGCGUUAUCCGGAAUUAUUGGGCGUAAAGAGCUCGUAGGCGGUUUGUCGCGUCUGCCGUGAAAGUCCGGGGCUCAACCCCGGAUCUGCGGUGGGUACGGGCAGACUAGAGUGAUGUAGGGGAGACUGGAAUUCCUGGUGUAGCGGUGAAAUGCGCAGAUAUCAGGAGGAACACCGAUGGCGAAGGCAGGUCUCUGGGCAUUAACUGACGCUGAGGAGCGAAAGCAUGGGGAGCGAACAGGAUUAGAUACCCUGGUAGUCCAUGCCGUAAACGUUGGGCACUAGGUGUGGGGGAACAUUCCACGUUUUCCGCGCCGUAGCUAACGCAUUAAGUGCCCCGCCUGGGGAGUACGGCGCAAGGCUAAAACUCAAAGGAUUGACGGGGCCCGCACAAGCGGCGGAGCAUGCCGAUUAAUUCGAUGCAACGCGAAGAACCUAACCAAGGCCUGACAUUGAACGGAAUACCUGAAAAGGUGCCCCGCUGCGUCGUUACAGUGGUGCAUGUUGCGUCAGCUCGGUCUGGAAAUGUUGGUUAAGUUCCGACACGAGGCC
rnacentral:rRNA from 1 species